rnacentral:rRNA from 1 species
UUUUCCGGUUGAUCCUGCCGGAGGUCACUGCUAUUGGGAUUCGACUAAGCCAUGCGAGUCGAGAGGGUUCGGCCCUCGGCUGACGGCUCAGUAACACGUGGAUAAUCUGCCCUUAGGUGGAGGAUACUCUCGGGAAACUGAGAAUAAUACUCCAUAGGUCUAGGAUGCUGGAAUGCAUCUAGGCUUAAAGCUCCGGCGCCUAAGGAUGAGUCUGCGGACUAUCAGGUUGUAGUCAGGGUAAUGACCUGACUAGCCUACGACGGAUAUGGGUUGUGAGAGCAAUAACCCAGAGAUGAUAUCUGAGACACGAUAUCAGGCCCUACGGGGCGCAGCAGGCGCGAAAACUUCACACUGUGCGAAAGCACGAUGAGGGAAUCCCAAGUGCUUGCUCGUUAGAGUAAGCUGUUUUUAUGUUUAAAACGCAUAGAGAGUAAGAGCUGGGUAAGACGGGUGCCAGCCGCCGCGGUAAUACCUGCAGCUCGAGUGGUGGCCGCUAUUAUUGGGCCUAAAACGUUCGUAGCCGGUUUAAUAAAUGCCUGGGUAAAUCGUGUAGCUUAACUAUACGAAUUCCGGGUAGACUGUUAAACUUGAGACCGGGAGAAGCUAGAGGUACUCCUGGGGUAGAGGUGAAAUUCUGUAAUCCUAGGGGGACCACCAGUGGCGAAGGCGUCUAGCUAGAACGGGUCUGACGGUGAGGAACGAAGCCCUGGGGCGCAAACCGGAUUAGAUACCCGGGUAGUCCAGGGUGUAAACGCUGCUUGCUUGAUGUUAGUCGGGCUCCGAGCCCGAUUAGUGUCGGAGAGAAGUUGUUAAGCAAGCUGCCUGGGAAGUACGGUCGCAAGACUGAAACUUAAAGGAAUUGGCGGGGGAGCA